rnacentral:rRNA from 1 species
AGAGUUUGAUCCUGGCUCAGAAUGAACGUUGGCGGCGUGGAUUAGGCAUGCAAGUCGAACGGGCCGCAAGGCCAGUGGCGGAAGGGUGAGUAAGGCGACGGUAACCAACCCCAUGGUUGGGUAUAGCCGCGGGAAACUGCGGGUAAUCCCCAGCGACGUCCGAGCCGGACAUCCGGCACGGACCAAAGCCCUGGCGCCGUGGGACGGGCCGUCGUGGUAUUAGGUCGUUGGCGGGGUAAUGGCCCACCAAGCCUCUGAUGCCUACCGGGCGUGCGAGCGCGACCCGGCACACUGGGACUGAGACACUGCCCAGACUCCUACGGGAGGCUGCAGUCGAGAAUCUUCGGCAAUGGGCGCAAGCCUGACCGAGCGACGCCGCGUGGAGGAUGAAGGCCUUCGGGUUGUAAACUCCUGUCGAGGGGGAGGAAGGUCGGGCAACCGGCUUGACCGAUCCCUGGAGGAAGCACGGGCUAAGUUCGUGCCAGCAGCCGCGGUAAGACGAACCGUGCGAACGUUAUUCGGAAUCACUGGGCUUAAAGCGCGUGUAGGCGGAUGGGAACGUCGGUCGCUGAAAUCCCCCGGCUCAACCGGGGAACGGGCGCCGAAACGACCCGUCUCGAGGGACGUAGGGGGACCUGGAACUUCCGGUGGAGCGGUGAAAUGCGUUGAGAUCGGAAGGAACGCCCGUGGCGAAAGCGAGGUCCUGGACGUCUACUGACGCUGAGACGCGAAAGCUAGGGGAGCGAACGGGAUUAGAUACCCUAGUAGUCC